UUUUUUUUUUUUUUCUGUGGGCCCAGGUUCCCUGGAGAUGGGGUGAGAACUCAGACAGAAUGGAACAUACACCACUGCCUAUGUUCAGAACAGUAUUUUACUGAAAAUGCGUGAGAUUUUUCGCUACUGAUCGUGAUUCUUGUCUGAGAGAUUUCCCUGAAGAGAGCAUACGAAUCUUUCAUCGUAUUCACCGGAACACAACAGAUAUGAAUUUCCAAUACAUAUUUGUGGUGUUGAUACAUGAAUGUAAUUGUAUUUGUAUGAUGACAGUCAUAUCCUCAGAAGAUUAAGAAGCAACUUCAGAUAUUAAGAUUCUUAUGAAAACAAAAUCUAAAUGGAAAUGCUGAGAAUAUAAGGAAUGUCUUGGUAAUAUCCUCUUCAAGGUCUUUUCUACUCAGAUUGUACGUGUUUGCUUCAGAUUCUAGAAAGCAUCUAUAGAGAGUAGCUAUAAAAUAUCUAUUUGACAAAAAUCAGGAGGCUGUAAACAAUUGUCUAUACCAGCUUAAAAAAAAAAAAUUGCAACAAGACCGAACACAUUCAUGGGUAUAAAAACAGUAUCUGAACACAAAUAUAUUAAAAGAUCACUACAGUGGUUAAGUUAAACUCUUUUAAGAAAUGUCAGAGCUAAAUUUGUUUAUGCAACUUGCACUUGCCUCUCUAAUUUGUAUGCACUACUA